GGUCGUCGCUAGCUCGUUGGUUAUGAGCAUCUGUCUUGACCCUGAAAGGGAGAGAGACAGAAGGUUCUGGGUUCGAUUCCCGGGCGGAUCU
rnacentral:tRNA from 1 species